CCUACGGGUGGCAGCAGUGAGGAAUAUUGGUCAAUGGACGAGAGUCUGAACCAGCCAAGUAGCGUGAAGGAUGACUGCCCUAUGGGUUGUAAACUUCUUUUAUAUGGGAAUAAAAUGUUCCACGUGUGGGAUUUUGUAUGUACCAUAUGAAUAAGGAUCGGCUAACUCCGUGCCAGCAGCCGCGGUAAUACGGAGGAUCCGAGCGUUAUCCGGAUUUAUUGGGUUUAAAGGGUGCGUAGGCGGACAGACAAGUCAGCGGUAAAAAUGCGGUGCUCAACGCCGUACAGCCGUUGAAACUGGCAGUCUUGAGUGGGCGAGAAGUAUGCGGAAUGCGUGGUGUAGCGGUGAAAUGCAUAGAUAUCACGCAGAACUCCGAUUGCGAAGGCAGCAUACCGGCGCCCGACUGACGCUGAGGCACGAAAGCGUGGGUAGCAAACAGGAUUAGAUACCCCUGUAGUC
rnacentral:rRNA from 1 species